rnacentral:rRNA from 1 species
UAAAAGUCGUAACAAGGUUUCGCUAGGUGAACCUGGGGAAGGAUCAUUAUCAAAUUACAGCGGACUUCGGUCCUGUCUGCACCCUUGUCUUUUGCGUACUAUAUGUUUCCUCGGUGGGCUUGCCUGCCGAUAGGACACUUAUAAACUCUUUUGUAAUUGCAAUCAGCGUCAGAAAAACUAUAAUAGUUACAACUUUCAACAACGGAUCUCUUGGUUCUGGCAUCGAUGAAGAACGCAGCGAAAUGCGAAAAGUAGUGUGAAUUGCAGGAUUCAGUGAAUCAUCGAAUCUUUGAACGCACAUUGCGCCCCUUGGUAUUCCAUGGGGCAUGCCUGUUCGAGCGUCAUUUGUACCCUCAAGCUCUGCUUCGUGUUGGGUGUUUGUCCCGCUAUUGCGCGUGGACUCGCCUUAAAGCAAUUGGCAGCCGGCAUAUUGGCCUGGAGCGCAGCACAAUUUGCAACUUCUUGCCUUUUGAAUGUCGAGCAUCCAGAAGCAAGACUUUUUGCUUUUGUCCUCGGAUCAGGGACGGA